GAGUUUGAUCCUGGCUCAGAUUGAACGCUGGCGGCAUGCCUUACACAUGCAAGUCGAACGGCAGCACGGGAGCUUGCUCCUGGUGGCGAGUGGCGAACGGGUGAGUAAUGCAUCGGAACGUAUCCUGGAGUGGGGGAUAACGUAGCGAAAGUUACGCUAAUACCGCAUAUUCUGUGAGCAGGAAAGCGGGGGACCUUCGGGCCUCGCGCUCUUGGAGCGGCCGAUGUCGGAUUAGCUAGUUGGUGAGGUAAAGGCUCACCAAGGCGACGAUCCGUAGCAGGUCUGAGAGGAUGAUCUGCCACACUGGAACUGAGACACGGUCCAGACUCCUACGGGAGGCAGCAGUGGGAUUUUGGACAAUGGGGGCAACCCUGAUCCAGCCAUGCCGCGUGAGUGAAGAAGGCC
rnacentral:rRNA from 1 species